UAUACUCAUUGAAAGGACGAGUUCACUAAUUAACAUUAUUAUACAAAAUAUCUUUUGAAAGAAUUUUUUUUAUCUUUCAAUUAAAUUUACUUAUAUUAAUUGUUUGAAAUCACGAUAGAUUUUAAAAAAAGAAAAGAAAAUAAAAAUACCUGAAAAUAAGAUAACUAAUAUAGCGAUGAAAGAUACUUUUCGAAAGUGUUGACGAAACGACAUUGUUGAGCGAACUGAGAGUCGAGUUGAUCGCUGGGCCAGUGGGUCCCCUCAUCAGUACCUCGGCAAGGAUAACAGUUCAUGGGUGUACCGUUUACACUAACGUUAUUCUCGCCGUUUUAACUUUGCAUCUCAGACAUCACUGCAAUAAUCGAAAGUGAGAAAGUGGAAUGGUUGACCGAUGAAAGUAAUUGAAAGAAGAUCACGAUGCAUCUUAAUAUAUUUCUAGAUUUAUAUAUUCUAUGAAUUUCUAACCUGUGACUCGUGGCAUUAAGAGAUCUUAGUGACCUCGUAUUUGAGAAGAAGACUUGCACAACGGUGGAAGGUCGGCCGUUAGUCGGUUGAUCCAUGGCCAUGGCAAAAGUGCCGGGAGGCGCUUCUUCUCUCGCCAACGAAAGUAGGAUUACGCUUGAUUUUCACUCUCUGUGUUUUCGAUUACAUUUAACAAUCCAUUAACAUUAGGGGUUGUUCGACGACAUUUCUCGUAUCCGGUCAAACGAAAAAAAUAUGUGACCAGCAAGAAAAUACGUAGAGGUGCGUAAUGUCUUGUUAUUACACGUGUCCCUCCUUGGUAACGGGACAGGCAACCAAACCGACCGACCUACUUAUGCACGGACGUUCACAUACAUACAUGUCCACGCACGUUCACGCACGUCCACGCGCAGUCUCGUCCAAAGAAAUGCCUUAGGACUUGCCAUGCACUCCGCUUGCCAUACUGAGAUAAAACAAAUUUCAAAGACUCGAGGUCAAUCUCGACAUCUCUGUGAUUUAAGUGGCGUAAAAUUGAGCAUGACGAAAUUCAUUGCAUGAUGGCUUAAAUAUAAACAUUCAUUUCUAUUGUGCAUGUAUAUAUACAAUAUAGAUAGAGAAGAUAAAAAGAAAAAAUCAAAAUUGUAUGGCCAUUUUCUAAUAGUAGUUAAAAUAUACUUCAAAGGAACUUUUAAUAAUAUUAAUUUUUGAAAGAGCAAAGGUACUUUAAAGUUAAGUAAUUUUUUUGUUUUUUUAUUUUUAACACGAUUUAACUUCUCGACUUUUAUUUCUUGUAAUAUAUUUAAGCGCUUGAUUAAAUAAAACUAAUUGAAGUUAUUAAUUUUCAGAUAAAUUAUAACAAUGAUAGUUCAUCAAAAAAAAAAGAUUAAAAAACUAUUUUAUUUAAUAGUUAAUAAAAAUUUGUAUGCAAGUAAAAUAUACAGUCAAAUUACAUUUUGAAAAUAUUGCAUAGUUUGCCAUAUAGUUUAAAUAACAUAAUUUCUACAUUAUCUAUUACUCUGUUGAGUAUUAAGAAUUUAUUUUAAUUACAAAAUCUGCAAUUUAUUUAUUAUUAAUUGCUAUUUUCGAAUCUUAUGACAUAUGAAUGAGACUCGCAAUAUAUAUAAAUAAAGAAAGACAAAUAAAAAAGUUGAACGAGUAUUUUCACGAUCUUUUAUGAAGAUAUAUUUGAACAUGUUGACAUUAACUUUAGAUUUUCCUUAUUCAUGGACAUGCAUGAAUGCCAUGAGUCUGAGGCUAACGAGGAAGAGACGCGGCUGGAAUAAGCACGAGGAGCGGUCCUUUGUGCGUGCAAAAUUGAACAACAAGACGAGGAACGUUAGUCUUACUGCAAAAUGAAUGUUUCAUUUAUCUACCGGGAGACGUAUUAAUCUUUUGAACGAUUGUAUUAUAAAAAAGGAUCAAUUAUUAACAUAUAGUAUUAAUUUAAACUCUUUGAAUAUUCUGUAUAUAAAGUGUUAAUAUAUUCAUGAAUCUUUUGGAGA